rnacentral:rRNA from 1 species
CAGUAGCCGCGGUAAUACGGAGGGGGCUAGCGUUGUUCGGAAUUACCGGGCGUAAAGCGCACGUAGGCGGCUUGGUAAGUUAGAGGUGAAAGCCUGGAGCUCAACUCCAGAAUUGCCUUUAAGACUGCCGAGCUAGCAGGUGAGAGAGGUAAGUGGAAUUCCGAGUGUAGAGGUGAAAUUCGUAGAUAUUCGGAAGAACACCAGUGGCGAAGGCGGCUUACUGGCUCAUACUGGACGCUGAGGUGCGAAAGCGUGGGGAGCAAACAGGAUUAGAUACCCGUGUAGUCCCUGUCUCUUAUAC